rnacentral:rRNA from 1 species
UACGUAGGGCGCAAGCGUUAUCCGGAAUUAUUGGGCGUAAAGAGCUCGUAGGCGGUUUAUCGCGUCUGCCGUGAAAGUCCGGGGCUCAACUCCGGAUCUGCGGUGGGUACGGGCAGACUAGAGUGAUGUAGGGGAGACUGGAAUUCCUGGUGUAGCGGUGAAAUGCGCAGAUAUCAGGAGGAACACCGAUGGCGAAGGCAGGUCUCUGGGCAUUAACUGACGCUGAGACGCGAAAGCGUGGGGAGCGAACAGG